rnacentral:rRNA from 1 species
AGAGUUUGAUCCUGGCUCAGGAUGAACGCUGGCGGUGUGCCUAAUACAUGCAAGUCGAGCGAACGGACGAGAAGCUUGCUUCUCUGAUGUUAGCGGCGGACGGGUGAGUAACACGUGGAUAACCUACCUAUAAGACUGGGAUAACUUCGGGAAACCGGAGCUAAUACCGGAUAAUAUUUUGAACCGCAUGGUUCAAAAGUGAAAGACGGUCUUGCUGUCACUUAUAGAUGGAUCCGCGCUGCAUUAGCUAGUUGGUAAGGUAACGGCUUACCAAGGCAACGAUGCAUAGCCGACCUGAGAGGGUGAUCGGCCACACUGGAACUGAGACACGGUCCAGACUCCUACGGGAGGCAGCAGUAGGGAAUCUUCCGCAAUGGGCGAAAGCCUGACGGAGCAACGCCGCGUGAGUGAUGAAGGUCUUCGGAUCGUAAAACUCUGUUAUUAGGGAAGAACAUAUGUGUAAGUAACUGUGCACAUCUUGACGGUACCUAAUCAGAAAGCCACGGCUAACUACGUGCCAGCAGCCGCGGUAAUACGUAGGUGGCAAGCGUUAUCCGGAAUUAUUGGGCGUAAAGCGCGCGUAGGCGGUUUUUUAAGUCUGAUGUGAAAGCCCACGGCUCAACCGUGGAGGGUCAUUGGAAACUGGAAAACUUGAGUGCAGAAGAGGAAAGUGGAAUUCCAUGUGUAGCGGUGAAAUGCGCAGAGAUAUGGAGGAACACCAGUGGCGAAGGCGACUUUCUGGUCUGUAACUGACGCUGAUGUGCGAAAGCGUGGGGAUCAAACAGGAUUAGAUACCCUGGUAGUCCACGCCGUAAACGAUGAGUGCUAAGUGUUAGGGGGUUUCCGCCCCUUAGUGCUGCAGCUAACGCAUUAAGCACUCCGCCUGGGGAGUACGACCGCAAGGUUGAAACUCAAAGGAAUUGACGGGGACCCGCACAAGCGGUGGAGCAUGUGGUUUAAUUCGAA